GCUAACGGUUGGUCUCUCUGUCUGGAGUACAAAAGUACAUACUUUACAUGAACAGAGCAUUUUAAAGUGUAUUGGGCAAGGUAUAUUGCAGGGCCCAUAGUCCUGAGGCAAGAGGCUGGCCAGCAUGCCCCUCCAAGAACCAGUGACGAUGUUACUUUCAUCACAGCAUUUAUUCAAAUCUAUUCCUGGAACCAAAAUCCUCAGGAGAUUGGCAUCCAAUCC